rnacentral:rRNA from 1 species
CCUACGGGAGGCUGCAGUGGGGAAUAUUGGACAAUGGGGGGAACCCUGAUCCAGCCAUGCCGCGUGUGUGAAGAAGGCCCUCGGGUUGUAAAGCACUUUCAGUGAGGAAGAACGCCUGGUGGUUAAUACCCAUCAGGAAAGACAUCACUCACAGAAGAAGCACCGGCUAACUCCGUGCCAGCAGCCGCGGUAAUACGGAGGGUGCGAGCGUUAAUCGGAAUUACUGGGCGUAAAGCGCGCGUAGGUGGCUUGAUAAGCCGGUUGUGAAAGCCCCGGGCCCAACCUGGGAACGGCAUCCGGAACUGUCAAGCUAGAGUGCAGGAGAGGAAGGUAGAAUUCCCGGUGUAGCGGUGAAAUGCGUAGAGAUCGGGAGGAAUACCAGUGGCGAAGGCGGCCUUCUGGACUGACACUGACACUGAGGUGCGAAAGCGUGGGUAGCAAACAGGAUUAGAUACCCUGGUAGUC